rnacentral:lncRNA from 1 species
CAGUUACAGGAUUCAUACCACAUGAUAGAUUCUAAAUCUUGGGAACAGAAUCAAGAAUCCAGAAAUGGAUGGAACCACACGUAUAUGAACAACUGAUUUUCAACAAAGAUAAAAAGGAAAAGCUCACCUAUGAAAGGGUGCUUCUCUCCAGCCAGACAAUAGGAGUAGGGAAGAGACCGAUGCUGAAUGACUCACGAAAAUACUGCAGGAAAUGACAGGACCGUCCCCAGAAGUCCCUUCCACUGCCUUUUGCCGGCUUGCUACAUAGAAGCUUGCAAGAAGGAUGAAUCACAAGAAAAAGGCAUAUUGUAACCUCACAUCAUAAAUUUUACAAAACUGCUUCAUAAAAAAUAACUUUGGGUCCAGGAACUCC